rnacentral:rRNA from 1 species
UACCACUUCCAAGGAAGGCAGCAGGCGCGCAACUUACCCUAAUCUCGAUUCGAGGAGGUAGUGACAAGAAAUACCGAUGCGGGACCCUACGGGUGCCGCGUUCGGAAUGAGUACGAUUCGAACCACCUAACAAGGAACGAUCGGAGGGCAAGUCUGGUGCCAGCAGCCGCGGUAAUUCCAGCUCCAAUAGCGUACGUUAAAGUUGCUGCAGUUAAAAAGCUCGUAGUUGAACGUCCGGGUUCCGCGGGACGGGGCCGCCCCGCGAGGGACGGCGCCGCCCUGGGGCCCGUGGGAUCCGAUCUCGCCGCCCGUCGCAAGGCGGACGGAGGGACGGAUGAGGUUACCUGGAAAAAAUCGGGGCGAUCUAGGCGGGCGAACCUCGCCAACGAACGAUAGGACACGGGAUAACGGAAGAGGGCAUCGGCUCGACUUCGUCGGUUCCUCGAGCUGAGGCACGUACGGUGAAUAGGGACGGUCGGGGCCGCCCGUACCGGGUCGCGAGAGGUGAAAUUCUAGGAUCGACCCGAGACGAACCGCCGCGAAAGCAUUCGGCAAGGACGCUUUCAUUAAUCAAGAACGAAAGUCGGGGGAUCGAAGACGAUCAGAUACCGUCGUAGUCCCGACCGUAAACGAUGCCGACCGAGGGCCCGGAGGAGUUACGUACGACCCUCCGGGCCCUCCCGCGAGAAAUCAGGAGUAUUCGGGUUCCGGGGGGAGUAUGGUCGCAAGGCCGAAACUUAAAGGAAUUGACGGAAGGGCACCACCAGGAGUGGAAUCUGCGGCUUAAUUUGACUCAACGCGGGAAAACUCACCAGGUCAGGACACGGUAAGGAUUGACGGACUGAAGGAUCUUUCUCGAUUCCGUGGAAAGUGGUGCAUGGCCGUUUUUGGUUGGUGGAUCGAUCCGUCUGGUUAAUUCCGUUAACGAACGAGACCUCGGCACUCCGAAUAGCGCGGCGGACGCAGCGGCCUCGGCCGUCUUCCGCACGAGCUUCUUAGAGGGACCGUCCCCCGCCGGGGAAGGAGGUUCGAGGCAACGACAGGUCUGUGAUGCCCUUAGAUGUUCUGGGCCGCACGCGCAUUACACUGACGCGUCCAACGGGCGACUCCCGGCCCGAAGGGGUCGGGGAAUCCGCAAGGCGCGUCGUGAUGGGGAUUGAACGUUGCAAUUGUUGUUCACGAACGAGGAAUUCCUAGUAGGCGCGGGUCAUCAACCCGCGCCGAUUACGUCCCUGCCCUUUGUACACACCGCCCGUCGCUCCUACCGAUCGAACGGUCCGGUGAGGACCCAGGACGGCGCGGGACCCGAGGGGCCGAAAGGCUCCGCGACCCGUGUCGGAAUCCGUCCGAACCUUACCGUUUAGAGGAAGGAGAAGUCGUAACAAGGUCUCC